rnacentral:rRNA from 1 species
UAGUAUGGGGAUCUGCCCGAUAGAGGGGGAUAACUACUGGAAACGGUAGCUAAUACCGCAUAACGUCGCAAGACCAAAGUGGGGGACCUUCGGGCCUCAUGCCAUCAGAUGUGCCCAGAUGGGAUUAGCUAGUAGGUGGGGUAAUGGCUCACCUAGGCGACGAUCCCUAGCUGGUCUGAGAGGAUGAUCAGCCACACUGGGACUGAGACACGGCCCAG